ACUUCAGGAAACUGGGGCUAAUACCGGAUAGGAGCCCCUGCUGCAUGGUGGGGGUUGGAAAGUUUCGGCGGUUGGGGAUGGACUCGCGGCUUAUCAGCUUGUUGGUGGGGUAGUGGCUUACCAAGGCUUUGACGGGUAGCCGGCCUGAGAGGGUGACCGGCCACAUUGGGACUGAGAUACGGCCCAG
rnacentral:rRNA from 1 species